rnacentral:lncRNA from 1 species
ACUUUCAGUAAUUCAUGGAAAUGGAGCUACGACACAUACAAGUAUGGAAACAUGUGGAUAAGGUAAAAUUGAUUUCUUAGACAAAUUUAUUUUUCGUACAGUUUAUUAUGUUGUCCAAUCACAUUAUAUAUAAUAUAUCAAAAUUGAUUUACUAUGGGUAGUGUUCUAUGGUUUUCCUCUAAAUUUUUUUAAUCACAGAUACAAAUAAAUGUACUUGUCCUAUCUAAAACAGAUAGAUUAUAAAUAUUGAAACAUGUUUAUACUUGUAUAUAUCUGUAGUUUUCAUAGAUUUCUUGAUGUUUUUGAAGAUAUAUGAAAAAUAAAACUUGAUUUUGGAACAUUUUUUGGCCCAGCUUUGACAAACUUGAAAAAGAAAGACUUUUAAAAGCAUGGAGUUUGGUAACAGCAGCAUCAACAAAGUAUUAGUUUGUGAUUAGGUCAGUUUAUAGAAAACCACUAGUUGAACAAUAAUGUCAUUGAUAUUUAGUAUCAAGUUAUAUAAGCAUAGGCAAACUUCAUUUCCUUGCAGAUUAUUUGGCCCCUCCCCUCAGUCAUGGUAUAUUGACUUUGAAACUUUACUUAGUUUGCAUGUGUUAGUUUGUGAUUAGGUCAGUUUAUGGUAGCACAAUACAAAGAUUUUAUACCUCCAAUUCUCUAGUUUUAAAAUGCCUGUAAUCUUCUAUAAUCUUGAAAAUUUAUAAAGUGGUAUUUAUGGAUAGUUAAGAUUACUCUUUAUUAAUGCAAUCUUAGUAUUAUACAACAAUUAUGUAAUCAAUUAUAAUUUUAACUGUGUCUACAAACUUUUACAACACAUUUCCAUUUUCACUUGAAAUUAGCUUUUACAUGGAUACCCCGAGAGGGUUGACUUUAUGACAUGUUGUUCCUAGAGCCAUUAUCUAUAAAAGGGUGUCUUAGAUUUUGGAUAGAAUUUAUAGAUCAAAUUUUACACCUAAUCAAACAAUCUCUACUUUUAAGUGGUAAGGAUGUUCACGCUAUUAACAGGUUCAUAAGAGAAUGGAAUAUGAUAGCGUGAUUUGAGACACCCUUUGUAGCUCCUGAUGUGUUGAUUAAGAUAACGUUAAAAUUUCUUGUGUAGUUUAAGAGUUAUCAGAGCUAAAUUCAUUCAAGUAAACUGACCAAGAUUUUACCAUUAAUUGCAUAAUAAUUGAUUACAUAAUGAUUGCAUAACAAAAAUAUUUCUUUCUUUUAAAAGAUUAAUAUUUUAUCUAUCUAUACAUACCUCUGUUAAUAAUUCAUAUGCAGUAUUAAGAAAGUUACAGCAUUUUAAAGGUUGGAGAUUGGAAGUAAAAAAAUCUUUGUAUUGUGCUACCUUAUGUAGAGCCACUAUUGGUAUAUUAUUGGGUUUUGGUAUGCAGUUAUUUUAGCAUUGGGACGUCUCUUUUCAGUGGACAUUAUUUUGCCCCCUCAGUCAUGGUAUAUUAACUUAGAAACUUUUGCUUAAUUGACAUAUGGGACUGAUACAUUUAUCUAUUAGUCUGAGAUUUACAUGUUUAUAAGUUUGUGAUUAUGUCAGUUGAAGUGGAAACAUUAAAGAAAGGUCAGUGAUAUUGGGUAUGCAGUUGUAUAAGCAUUGGCAUAUCUAAUUUUCACAGAGAUUAUAUUACUUUUUCUUUCAGUCAUGGUCUGUUGGCUUUGAGUAUUGUGCAUAGUUUAGAUGUAAGGUUGUGAUUAGAUUAGUGUAAGAGAUGAACCAUAAUUUUAGUCAUUAAUAUUUGAUAUAUAGUGGUUAAGCAUUUGCAAUUCUCAUUUUCAUUGAGAUUAUUAUGGCCCUGCCCUAUAAUCAUCAUGAUUGCAUUAUAUAAAGUUUGAGUUUAGUUUAAUUUAAAGGGAAUCACUUAUGAAAAGCCAAACAUAUCUUAGUGUCAGUAGUUUUGUUUCUUUUCUGUAGUCCAAGAAAGAAUUUAUUAAUGACACCAAAAGACAAAACAGAUUUUCUGACCGGAUGGGUUAUACUACAUAAUCCUACCAAAGGACUUAUAGGAUAUCAGGUAAUUAAAACUAUUUCACAAUCUAAAAGGGUAAUUUCCUUAUCAUAUUUCUCGACUUACACCUAUAAAUUGAAACUGAUCGUUUGUGAGUGACCUUGAAAAAAAAUUGAUAUUUUUGUGCAUAGGAUAAUAAAAACAGACACUAAGAUUCAAUAUAUCCGUUUUCUAGCAUUUGUAAAUUAUGUCCUAUAUAAUUUCAAACUCACCUAGUUUAUAAUAUCAAAUUUGACUUUUUCAUCUUUGUGUUCUUCUUAUUUUUAUGCCCCACCUCUAGUUGAAUGGGACAUAAAGUUUUACCCUUGUCAGUCUGUAUGUGCAUACAUCCCAAAAUUGGUUUUUGUUUUGCCUUAACCAAAUGUCAUGAAACUUAUUCACAACCAAACACAGGUCCAAUGUAAAUGUGGGUGGUCUCACUUUAACUGUUCUAGAGUUUUAUCCCCGGCUUAGCCUAUAUGUAGGAUUUUGAUUGGUUAACGCACGUCGUUACAAAACCCAUAGCCCCUGAGUGUUGCUUACCCAUAUCCCCGGACGUUGCUAACCAUUAACCCCGGGGAACUUCACGCAAGUUUUCCUUAGUUCCAUGAUUGCUCCUUGUGAAAUAUUGAAUUCUGUAGAUUAUCCAUGAUGUUUGUAAUUAAAAUAUUUAAUUCAUUAACGAUUUUGUCCUAUUAUGCCGAUCAUUUACACUCAUUUCAUUAAAUGCAUCACUUGACUGCCACAUUUUCAAGGAAUGGGACUACUGACCUAGCUAUGCAAAUGACCCACGUUGACGUCACACCAUCUACGACGUAACUCUCACAAGAUUGAGCGCCAAAUUUGACUCAAUUCAUUUUCUCUGUCUCCGUAUUAAAAACGUCUUAUAUUUGACUACCUGUAGGGUUCUACCAAAGGUAGUACCCUACACCCCGUAGAAACUAUGUAAAAUUUCCAAAUUUCAAUAAAACUUUUUUAGAUAAUGAAAAAAACGUUGUUUUCACGUUACACUUUGUACCCGAAUUUCCAUAAAACUCGCCCGAUUCAGACUAAGACCGGUACGCCUCAUGGUGUACUUGGGUACUUCAGGGUGUUAAAAUAUCCAUAUCUACGGAUAUGAACGUAGAUAACUUAUAAUAUCCCUUUAUAAAUGUAAAAAAUGCUAAAUUUGCCUUUUACCUUAACCAAAUGCAAUGAAACUUAUAUACAAUACUUAUUACAACCAAUCACAGAUUAAUUUUGGCUGAAGUCACUUUAACGGUUCUAGAGUUAUGUCCCUUUAUAAAUAGAAAACAUUGUUAUAUUUGCUGUUUAUGCACUCUUAACUGUAAUUUGCCUCUACCAAAUGUUAUGAAACUCAUACAUAAUGCUUAUUACCACCAAUUUCAGAUCAAAAUUUGCUGUCAACACUCUACUCUUGGAGUACUUGUAGAAACUACAGAAAUUGGAUCACUUGGGCCAAA